rnacentral:rRNA from 1 species
GGAAAGUGGAGCAAUCCAUGAGUACAGUGGCGUACGGGUGAGUAACACGUGGGUGAUCUACCUUUUAGUGGGGAAUAACCCUGGGAAACCGGGGCUAAUACCGCAUAAGCCCGAGAGGGGAAAGCAGCAAUGCGCUGAAAGAGGAGCCCGCGGCCGAUUAGCUAGUUGGCAGGGUAAGAGCCUACCAAGGCAGAGAUCGGUAGCCGGCCUGAGAGGGCACACGGCCACACUGGCACUGAAACACGGGCCAGACUCCUACGGGAGGCAGCAGUGGGGAAUCUUGCACAAUGGGGGGAACCCUGAUGCAGCGACGCCGCGUGAGCGAUGAAGCCCUUCGGGGUGUAAAGCUCUUUCGGCAGGGAAGAUGAUGACGGUACCUGCAGAAGCAGCUGCGGCUAACUACGUGCCAGCAGCCGCGGUAAUACGUAGGCAGCGAGCGUUGUUCGGAGUUACUGGGCGUAAAGGGUGUGUAGGCGGUUCUUUAAGUUUGGUGUGAAAUCUCCCGGCUCAACCGGGAGGGUGCGCCGAAUACUGAGGGACUAGAGUGCGGGAGAGGAAAGUGGAAUUCCUGGUGUAGCGGUGAAAUGCGUAGAUAUCAGGAGGAACACCGGUGGUGUAGACGGCUUUCUGGACCGUAACUGACGCUGAGACACGAAAGCGUGGGUAGCAAACAGGAUUAGAUACCCUGGUAGUCCACGCCCUAAACGAUGCAUAUUUGGUGUGGGCAGUUCAUUCUGUNCCGUGCCGGAGCUAACGCGUUAAAUAUGCCGUCCUGGGGAGUACAGU